CCUACGGGUGGCAGCAGUGGGGAAUAUUGGGCAAUGGAGGCAACUCUGACCCAGCAACGCCGCGUGAAUGAUGAAGGUCUUCGGAUUGUAAAGUUCUGUGAUGGGGGAUGAACACAAUGACGGUACUCCAAUAGCAAGCCACGGCUAACUACGUGCCAGCAGCCGCGGUAAUACGUAGGUGGCAAGCGUUAUCCGGAAUGACUGGUCGUAAAGGUUGCGUAGGUGGUUUAGUAAGUUGGCGGUGUAAUUCCGGGGCUCAAACUCGGCGCUACCGCCAAAACUAGCAGCCUAGAGUGCAGGAGGGGUAAGUAGAAGUCCUGGUGUAGCGGUGGAAUGCGUAGAUAUUAGGAGGAACAUCAGGGGCGAAGGCGACGUACUGGACAGUAACUGACACUGAGGUACGAAAGCGUGGGGAGCAAACAGGAUUAGAUACCCUGGUAGUC
rnacentral:rRNA from 1 species